rnacentral:lncRNA from 1 species
UAAAAACACACAACGCCUGAAAUACACCCUUAAUCGAUUUGUCCGAGAGAAAGAAAAAGUUCUAAGAGAGCUAGGAAAUUCCUCCCGGGACCCGCAGGAGCACUGGGGAGUAGAAGACGGAGAGGAACCUUCAAACAGCAGAGCCGUGGGAGGAGAGGCAGGAGGGCCCCUCUCUGUUGCCAGAGGCUCCCACACCCAGAUGCAGGCCAGAGCGAUCCCUCAUAAUUUAAGCUGACACCCCUCAGUGGAGAUGAAAGGAACACUACUCGCUGUCUCCGACAACAAAUGUCAGCAUCCCUGGAGGCCAUUUAGACACAAACACAGCAUAAAUCUGACUCCUAGUGGGGAAGGCCAGAGAUUAAGUCUCCUCGCACAGCCUAACAGAGUGAAAUGAAUUUGCUUGGCAUAAAGUUUGAA